UAAUUUACUUUGGUCGCUACUUUAUUAAUUUACUUUGAUGCAGACGAUCGUUUAAUCUACUCAUACAAUGAAUCUCCAAUACAAGCGCUUACUAACACGGCGUUCCAUCUUGGUGUUGUAAAUUCUUUCUACAAAUCUUGGGGUAUCAGGAUUAAUGCAGCCAAAUCUGAAGCCAUCUACCUGAGAAAUGCUUCUGGUAAAUGUGCCAGAUUUGUGGUUCCAGAGAGCAAACUUUUGUAGCUCUCUCUUGACGGUAUGGAUAUACCAUUUAAGGACACCAUUAAGUACCUUGAACAGCAAAUAUCUUCCACAGGCGACAAAAAUUAUUCUUUAUAAAGUGGCUAUCAGGCCGACACUCAUACAUGCAUUCCCCAUCUGGUUCUCUAUCUCUCCAGCGGUGGCCAGGCAAUUGGAAAUUUUUGAGCGAAGAAUAUUAAGGAAAUGUAUUGGCAGGAAUUUUCAAGGCUAUAAUAAACGAUUUUCUAAUACAUACAUUAAUGGACAAUCUGCUGUGGUACCACUCUGCAAAUACGCCUUACUGCUCCAGAGAAAAUUUGCUGAUAAUUUGGCUCUUCAUGAGAAUACACUGAUGAACGAUAUGUAUGAGUAUGAGAAGGUAAUGGAGUGGUCUGGAUGUACUUACCUGUCUCCAAUAGGUAUUUUGAAUCAAUUAAUUGACAACGACGAUCCCGUUCAGCUUAUACUACCGGAUUUCUACAGGGAAACGCUCCCGGGCUCCCAUAGGGGCUGAAAAGAAAAAAAGGAAACUGAUAUUUUAUUUAUACAUUUAUUUAUUUUAUUAUGAAAUUUGUAUCUUCGAAUACUAAUAAUUGUUCAUAUCAUAUUAUUAUCAUCAACUUUAAAUAUUCCAAUUUAUUAAACUUUUACACUUUGUAAUAUUUACAAUUCGUUAA